UAAGCGGAGGAAAAGAAACUAACAAGGAUUCCCCUAGUAACUGCGAGUGAAGCGGGAAAAGCUCAAAUUUAAAAUCUGGCGGUCUUUGGCCGUCCGAGUUGUAAUUUAGAGAAGCGUCUUCCGCGCCGGACCGUGCACAAGUCUCCUGGAAUGGAGCGUCAUAGAGGGUGAGAAUCCCGUCUUUGGCACGGAUGCCUGGUGCUCUGUGAUGCGCUCUCGAAGAGUCGAGUUGUUUGGGAAUGCAGCUCAAAAUGGGUGGUGAACCCCAUCUAAAGCUAAAUAUUGGCGAGAGACCGAUAGCGAACAAGUACCGUGAGGGAAAGAUGAAAAGCACUUUGGAAGGAGAGUGAAACAGUACGUGAAAUUGUUGAAAGGGAAACGCUUGAAGUCAGUCGCGUCGACCGAGACUCAGCCUUGCCUCGGCUUGGUGCACUUCUCGGCCCGACGGGUCAGCGUCAAUUUUGCCCCUCGGAUAAUGGCAAGGGAAAGGUGGCACCUUUACGGGUGUGUUAUAGUCUCCUGUCGCAUGCGAGGGUUGGGAUUGAGGAACUCAGCGCGCACCUUUGGUGUCGGGGCUUCGGCCCACGUCACGCGCUUAGGAUGCUGGCGUAAUGGCUUUAAACGACC
rnacentral:rRNA from 1 species